rnacentral:rRNA from 1 species
CAGUCGCCACGGGAACACGUAGGGUGCAAGCGUUAAUCGGAAUUACUGGGCGUAAAGCGUGCGCAGGCGGUUAUAUAAGACAGAUGUGAAAUCCCCGGGCUCAACCUGGGAACUGCAUUUGUGACUGUAUAGCUAGAGUACGGCAGAGGGGGAUGGAAUUCCGCGUGUAGCAGUGAAAUGCGUAGAUAUGCGGAGGAACACCGAUGGCGAAGGCAAUCCCCUGGGCCUGUACUGACGCUCAUGCACGAAAGCGUGGGGAGCAAACAGGAUUAGAUACCCCCGUAGUCCCUGUCUUUUAUAC